UACGUAGGUGGCAAGCGUUGUCCGGAUUUACUGGGCGUAAAGAGCGCGCAGGCGGUUGGAUAAGUCGAAUGUGAAAGCCCCCGGCUCAACUGGGGAGGGUCAUUCGAUACUGUCCAACUUGAAGGCAGGAGAGGGCAGCAGAAUUCCCGGUGUAGUGGUGAAAUGCGUAGAUAUCGGGAGGAAUACCAGUGGCGAAGGCGGCUGCCUGGCCUGUUCUUGACGCUGAGGCGCGAAAGCUGGGGGAGCAAACGGG
rnacentral:rRNA from 1 species